CUCUCGGCAACGGAUAUCUAGGCUCUCGCAUCGAUGAAGAACGUAGCGAAAUGCGAUACUUGGUGUGAAUUGCAGAAUCCCGCGAAUCAUCGAGUUUUUGAACGCAAGUUGCGCCCGAAGCCUUUCGGCCGAGGGCACGUCUGCCUGGGUGUCACGCAUCGUUGC
rnacentral:rRNA from 6 species